GCGGGUAUGGUUUAGUGGUAGAAUGCGACCUUCCCAAGGUCGAGGUGGGGGUUCGAUUCCCCCUACCCGCU
rnacentral:tRNA from 1 species